AAAAACGGAAAACAAAAAGAAAACGGAAAACGAAAAGAAAAAAAAAAUAAAUAAAUAAAAUAAAUAAAUAAAUAAAUAAAUAAAUAAAAUAAAAAAUCUCAGACUUUGACCUCUCUCAUUUGAGCCCACAAAGCCAUGAAAAUCAGGUUAUAAAAGAGGGAGAACAGACAGAAAAAGGAAGAGAAGCAAAACACUCUGAGGUUUCCGUGGAACA
rnacentral:lncRNA from 1 species